rnacentral:miRNA from 1 species
CAGUUGUAGUUGCUUAUAACUGCAGUCUUACUAGUGAUCAGUUUGCAAGCAGGCCUGCUAGGCAGUGCAAAGAGAUAGCAGGUCUAUGAGGCAGUGACUUU